rnacentral:rRNA from 1 species
CCUACGGGUGGCAGCAGUGGGGAAUAUUGCACAAUGGGGGAAACCCUGAUGCAGCGACGCCGCGUGAGUGAAGAAGUAAUUCGUUAUGUAAAGCUCUAUCAGCAGGGAAGAAAAUGACGGUACCUGAGUAAGAAGCCCCGGCUAACUACGUGCCAGCAGCCGCGGUACUACGUAGGGGGCAAGCGUUAUCCGGAUUUACUGGGUGUAAAGGGAGCGUAGACGGCAGUGCAAGUCUGGAGUGAAAGGUGGGGGCUCAACCCCCGGACUGCUCUGGAAACUGUACGGCUGGAGUGCAGGAGAGGUAAGUGGAAUUCCUAGUGGAGCGGUGAAAUGCGUAGAUAUUAGGAGGAACACCAGGGGCGAAGGCGGCUUACUGGACUGUAACUGACGUUGAGGCUCGAAAGCGUGGGGAGCAAACAGGAUUAGAUACCCCUGUAGUC